UACGAGGGGGGCUAGCGUUGUUCGGAUUUACUGGGCGUAAAGCGCACGUAGGCGGAUCGAUCAGUCAGGGGUGAAAUCCCAGAGCUCAACUCUGGAACUGCCUUUGAUACUGUCGAUCUGGAGUAUGGAAGAGGUAAGUGGAAUUCCGAGUGUAGAGGUGAAAUUCGUAGAUAUUCGGAGGAACACCAGUGGCGAAGGCGGCUUACUGGUCCAUUACUGACGCUGAGGUGCGAAAGCGUGGGGAGCAAACAGG
rnacentral:rRNA from 1 species